rnacentral:rRNA from 1 species
AGGACGAACGCUGGCGGCGCGCCUAACACAUGCAAGUCGAGCGAGAACCAGGGCUUGCCCUGGGGACAGCGGCGAACGGGUGCGUAACACGUGAGCAACCUGCCCCAAAGACCGGGACAACCCGAGGAAACUCGGACUAAUACCGGAUGCCCUCACCGGGUCGCAUGGUCUGGUGAGGAAAUGGAUUCCGCUUUGGGAUGGGCUCGCGGUCUAUCAGCUUGUUGGUGGGGUAACGGCCUACCAAGGCGACGACGGAUAGCUGGUCUGAGAGGACGAUCAGCCACACUGGGACUGAGACACGGCCCAGACUCCUACGGGAGGCAGCAGUGGGGAAUAUUGCGCAAUGGGCGAAAGCCUGACGCAGCGACGCCGCGUGGGGGAUGAAGGCCUUCGGGUUGUAAACCCCUUUCAGUUGGGACGAAGCUCCGCCGGUGAAUAGCCGGCUGGAGUGACGGUACCUUCAGAAGAAGCCCGGCUAACUACGUGCCAGCAGCCGCGGUAA